rnacentral:lncRNA from 1 species
UAACGAAACUAUACGUAAUACGGGGGAGGGUGUGAGGGAGAAAGACGUGGCUCACAAGCCUAAACACGUUCCCCAAUAUUGCGUUAGCCGGCGCAGGACGGUGACGUAAGCAGGAGCCCACAUUGCUUUUCAACAAUCAAAAAUAUCCAGAAUACGUUUGUGGAAGACCGAAAAAGCGCAGUGUGAUAUAAAAAAAUAUAAAGAUGCCGAUGAAGAAGCGAAACAAGGGAUUUCGUACGUGUAGCUCAAGCUACAAGCCUUUCUACAGCUACAAGUUUUAACAGAGUAAAUGUUGUUUUGUUGAUUAUUAAAACUAUGUUUGUAAGCUUAUAUGUUAAACAUUUCUACCAUAAAAGAUAUUAUAGACCAUUUUGAUAUAUGUUUAUGCGUGUCACAACCGCCCUUGGUAUGUGGCCGGUUGUGACACUUUCCCAUUUUUUUAAAAAUUGAUCUUAUGAGUAAUACAUUGUAUUAAGGAACAAUAUAUUAGUGUUUUUACGUACACAAAUGUCCAAAUUGCGAUACAAGUUCCUUUUCUGGGAGCUAAGUAGUAAAAUAACGAAAUUAUUGGUGAUCAAACGAAAAUUGGCACAACUGUACCCAGUCUACCCUA